UGGAGGCAGCUGUGGUCUCUGGGUCCCUCUCACCAGAAGGUCAGGGGGAGGGCAGGAGAAGGAUGGAGUUUCUUCUAGAGCAGCAGUCCUGGUUACCUGGUAAAUGAUACAUCGGGACUGUGCUAGCGAUGGCCUCCAUUCUCUCCAGGCUGCUAGGAUGACCUCAUCCUGCCUCUAGAUUCCACGCCAGGGGGUGGCAUCUUUCUAAACCAACUCUCACACGCCACCAGGAGCUAGGAUGACCUCAUCCUGCCUCUAGAUUCCACGCCAGGGGGUGGCAUCUUUCUAAACCAACUCUCACACGCCACCAGGAAGCGCCGUCUUGCCAUGUUUUCAGGCACUCCGGAUGGACAGACCGCAGGCUUCCCACGCAGCCGCACGGCUCCACGAGGGGAUUGGCGGGGGAACCCCCGGCUAUCUGACAGAUGCGACACAAGUCUCCCUCAUCCUCAGAGUCCUCCUCCAGGAGACUAAGUGGAAAACAAGCCCUCGUCACCAGGAGUCUACACGUUUGCAGUUUCCGCAAAUACCAGUUCCCAGAGCGUAGGGUGGGGCGGGGAGGAAAAGGGAGCCAGCCCCCCCGCUCCCCCGCCCCCAGCGGGGGCUAACCCACUGCUCCCUCUGACCCUGCUGAAGAUUCUUCCCGGCAUGAUGGUUACUGAUAACAGGUACGUGGACCUCUCACUGUUGUGGCCUCUCCUGUUGCGGAGCACAGGCUCCAGACGCGCAGGCCCAGCGGCCAUGGCUCACGGGCCCAGCCGCUCUGUGGCAUGUGGGAUCUUCCCGGACUGGGGCAUGAACCCGUGUCCCCUGCAUCAGCAGGCAGACUCUCAACCACUGCGCCACCAGGGAAGCCCUCAAGCGAACCUUUUAAAGAGUGGACCUGGGCACAUGCAAGUGGCCUUGUAAAUUCAUUUCUGAUGGAGAAGAGCUGGAAGACUCCACCAAGGACAAGCUGCUUUGAGGAUUUAGUAAGAGAUCUUCUGUAUGUAAUGGAGCCUCCUGAGAUUGGCUUGUUAAAGUAAUAUGUUCUGCUCCCCUGACAUCAAAUUCAUGCACACUGUUUACAGGAAAAUAACUGUGGUUUUCAGCACUGGCAAAUAGAUUCCUGUUUCUAAUGGGGGACAGUGGUUGACGAACAUUAAACCUGGAGCUUCCCUCCGAGUCUGAACUGGGAGCUAAGGUAGAUGAUGUGGACAGGUCUAUUGGAGUAUCGUCUCUCAGAGCAGAAUGCAUGAAUGAUCCUGGGGUGUUAUAGGAUGAAUUCAUUGAUGAUCUUGGAGCUGUUGGUCUACCAGCAAGAAAACAGCCAAGACGAUUAUGAGAGUCACUUAAAUGGGCCUGCCAAUCUCUUUCAUAAUCAUGGGUUCCGGGCCUGUCUUCCAUAGAAGUAACAUCACGAAAUACAUUUUCAGCAUUAAGGUCAUCCUCCAGACUGCUUUUGGAUUUGGUGUCCCAUGAAUGAAAGGUCUUCUCAUUUUCACUGUCACUGCUGUCUUUCUCUUUAGCAGACCCCCCAUCAGGCCGCCCAGGGUCUUGGAAUAUCCCUUGCCAGGUGGAAGGCUGCCCUGUCACUAGCUGCAUUGCACUGCUAAUUCGUAAUGAGCCAUGACUGGACUCACUUCUUACAGAAUUCGCUCUGCAAUUUGCAGGAUUUUCUUCAAAACUUUUAUUUUUGGCCUGAGUGGCCAAUGUCCCAAGAAAUCUACUUCUCUUAUGAUUGGAAGGAGAACGGAGCGGGUGCAUACCAGCCAGCAAAAGUUCUUCCUCUACAUGGGUUUCCUCUUCAGUGUCAUCAUUUUCUUCUCCAGAGUUUGAGGAUAAAACGGAAUAAAAAUCUUCAUCUCUGAACCGAAACAUCAUUCUUCUUGGCCCUUCCAAGGUGGUAGCUAUGCGUGGUGGCCCCAAGGACUCGGUCAACUCUUGAGGACUGUUCGUUCCUUGGAAGGCCUGGGAUAGGGCUGGGUGUGGUUCCUUCUGGGAGAGAGCACUCAGGCCUUUUUUUUUGGCUUUCUCGGGGGUAUUCUCCAUCACCGUUACUAGCUGUGAGGAUGGGACCAAGUUUCUUCUCUCUCGAGUUGGCCUCUUCAGCUUGGUGUCACUUGCCCACAUUGGACCUUCUUGUUGAACGAUUGGAUCUGUAUUGAGAAAAGAUAAGCUUAUCAUUUUACUGUAGGUGCUCACAGAUGAGAGACCUCUAACACCAAGGGUGAGGGUCCCAUAAGGCAAAAACAAGCCCUGGAGAGGAAAACCGGCACGGUUAAGAUGACUGGUGGUACCGAAGGAGUACAGGAGAGCUAGUUUCAGUUUACCGCGUACGAACUCUCUUUUGUUUUUGUUUCUUUUUUUUUUUUGGCUGUGCCGUGUGGCAUGCGGGAUCUUGGUUCCCUGACCAGGGAUCGAACCCUUGCCCUUUGCAAUGGAAGCACCGAGUCUUAACCACUGGACCGCCAGGGAAGUCCCUGUGAACUCUCUUUUGUACACUUGUGGAGCUCAGGUUGGUCCUGGGGCAGCACAAUGACCCUGAGGAUACAGAUCCUUUCUGCGGAAGCUCUGGGAAGUCUGUCCAGCCCCACGUCAGUCAGGGCUGAUGAUGGGUAACAUCUCUCAAAUGAUGGUUUCCAUAGCAGUGUUUACUGAGAAGGAAAACCAACACUCCAGGAACGACUACUACAAAACCCACCAGUGCUUUCUCAUCCCAAUUUGUUCAACAUACAGUCAGGACACUCCUGCUUCACUUACAGCUUUACAAAACAUUAAGAAAGGAAAUUUGGAAGACACAGAAGAGGAUGAAGAAGAAAUAAAAAUCACCCAAUAUCCAAAACUCAGAAGACCAUUGCUACUGUUCUGGAAUUCAGAGGAGAGGACAAGCGUGGCUUAGGCCUUGGGAUGAACGCUCAAGACUGAAAGAGGAGGUAUCCGCCAACCAGGUCUUUGAAAUAAAGCUUAUAUUCGCUUCGAUGUUAUUUCUUACACGGUAAGGUCUUGACGCCUUGGAUCAGAGGGGAGAAGAUCUCCGUGGGAGGUGAGUCGUCUGCCAUCCACAGACCCCCCUAUCCUUCCCUCCUGGGAAGUGGGCAGGAACUGUGGCCAGGUGAGACAUCCCUGGGCUGCAGACUGCCUCUCCACCCCCCACCCCCACCCCAUCCCCCAACACCUACCACCCACCACCCAAAUACCCUCUCCAGAAGCCUGACGGCGGGCACCCACUCAAAACCAUGCACAGUCUCACUUAUGGAGUAAUGGCAGAGAAAAUUAAAACUCCUCCCUGCCCUGCCUUUUCCCAGCAGCCUCCCUUGGAGAAGGAAAUUGGAUCCAAUAGUUUGCUUUUAAGUGUUUCACUGUAAGGUACACACUCUUCACAUAAAAACGGAAGUGUCUAAAAACCACACGGAAUUCACCAGGUUACAGCACAAGUCAGUCUCUCUGAGGACUGAGGUGCACGAGCUGCAGGUCCUUACCUACUCCCCUGAGGGCUGGCGCCUUCCCGGGCAGCUGCAGUUUCUCUCUGCUUCUGUCCCCAGACGCUCUCGGGCUCUGCAUUUCUGGGCUGACUAUUAGGUUUGGCCUCCUCUUGCUUGAUAAAAUCUGCGAUGCCUGGGCUGCUGAAAGAUGCAAAAUCUUUUCAAUAAUUUUUACAGGAAAACAUCUUCUGUAGAAAGAAUGCUCAAAGGGUGGGGAAGGCUUUUAAGGAAAUAGACCCAGGAGGUCAGGGAAGAGCUGAAUUUGAAAUCUGGUUCUAUGACCUUCUAGCCAUGGGGGCUUGGACAAAUCACUUCUGGAAGCCUCAGUUUUCCCACCUGUGACAUGGGAAUAAUAGUACCUACUUCACAAGGCUUUUAUCACCAUUAAUGAGCACCCCUGACACCUGCAAUGUGGAGUCUGUAGGGGGUGUUUCCUUUGACUAAGAAGUUUCUAGCUUCCAGUUCUUAGAUGUUGGGAUGGGCCUGUUGGUAAAACCGUCAAGAGCCUUUUACAUUUGGGACACACCACAAGCCCUGCUCCCCACGUGUUCAUCCAAGUUUGAAUCACAACCUAUUUUACACCUGCAUAUUCAUAUCCUCAGGUUGUUUUUUAGCAGCUAAUCUGGCUUUCCAGAAAGGUUCCAAGCAUCUGGGGACCAGAUACCCUUUCUCUUGCCUGUGUGCUACCCACCACUGGACUGGGAUGAUACACUCACAGGAAGAUGGUAGCUGGAGUGCUAACUUGGAUUGAGUUCCCAAUAUUUUUUUUUAAGAUUCACAUUUUGAAUUAGGUUGCUAAUUAGUACGAAUAAUCUCAAGUUUCUUCCUCACACGUAUUAAGUGUCAGUGCCCGUGAGUUUAGGGAAAGAGUUUUGUUAUUUUCCAUGCAGCUCUACAAGUUCUCGAGUUCACAGGCAGUUAAAUUGUGAAUAUCUCGAUUAAAUGCUUCCAAGAGAAUUUGCUUGGCUCAUCCCCUUUUGGACAGUUCAGAAAUUUCAGAAAUAGCCGUAGCCAGCAGGCCACGGGGGUAAAGCUGGGAAGGGUCCCUGAGUCCUGUGCGAGAGAACAGCCUUUCUUGGCACGUGAAGACAACUGAAUUUAUGUUCCGUGGUGUAAGCUGUGGUUGGGUGAAUAGUUUUCAUCCAGAUUCAGGGAAGGAAUGAAAGCUCUCCUUGGCAGUCCGUGAAACCUCAUUUAAAACAGUGAUUAGGUACUACCUACUUUCCCUGACAGGCCCUGGUAGGGGAAGGCAGUGGGUUCUGUGCUCUAAGACAGAGAGGAUCGUGUUCCACAGGGAACUUACUAAAAGGGGGAGCUACCGGUGGUGUGGGUUCCAGCUUAGGGCACGUCGGUGGAGCCCAGAGAGGCUGUGGGCAUGACCAGAAAGGAGAGAAGAGAAUCCUCCAGGAAAUGAGAUGGUGUAGGAUGGUGGUUACACAGGAUCUCACUGACCAAGCGUGGGGAGAGGAGGAGGGACCAAGGCUUUACACUAAGGGACCGGCCAUGGAGGAAAGCGGGGAGGCACUUAGCCCCAGGAGCUGUGCUCCUCUGGUCCACAGGCUUCUCCCCAUCCCCUGAGGCCUCGUUCCUGUCCAGCGCUCAGAAGUCAGCGACUGCCUCCUGCCUAAGCCCCUGGCUGACCGGGGAGAAAGCAGCGGGGGUUAUUACUUACUGAGGAGGAAACAGAGGGAGGAUCAGGGAAGGGCCAGGCUCAGGGCACAGGCCAAGUCCAGUGUGUGUUCAGGACCUGGCUCAAAGGUCCUUGUCACAAGGAUUUUACUCUGAUUCCCAGCAGAAUAUUCAAGUUUCCUUCACAGCCCAGGCAGCAGAACUUCACCCUGCCUGCAGCCCCCUACUGCCCCUGCUCCACACCUGCACACCCUCGGGGGAGUGAACGCCCUCCCAGCGGGCCUUUCUUCUUCAGCCUGCGCUAACAUGUGCCAGCCAGCAAGUCCCUGGAGGUCUGUUUCCAGUUUUAGGAGUCUGCUUUGGCCAGACGUUCAGGGUCCUUAGGGCCUUUAGCAUUUAAAUAUUCCAAAAUUGCCUCAGGUGUGUGUCUUUUCUCUCCAACUAGACUGUAAGCUCCUUAAGGGUGAGGACCCUGUCUUAGCCAGCCUGUGUGUUGCCUCAAAUUCUACUGCAGGGCAAAUCAUAAUCGCCUAGCAGGCCUUGAGAAGAUGUAUUCAGCUGAAACUAUGGGGAAAUUCCAGAAGUAGAACCAUUUGUUUUUUCUUGUGCUGAACACCAAGGAUGACUUAAGAUAAAAGACAGCUUGGAAAGUUGUUGGAUGCCAGUGGACUUGCCUGGAAACCCAUCAACCUUGGCCUUUCAGAGGACAUCUUCAACAGAAUUUAUUUGCCAGAGCACAGGCUCCGGACGCGCAGGCUCAGCGGCCAUGGCUCACGGGCCCAGCCGCUCCGCGGCAUGUGGGAUCUUCCUGGACUGGGGCACGAACCUGCGUCCCCUGCAUCGGCAGGCGGACUCUCAACCACUGCGCCACCAGGGAAGCCCCUGCCCUAUUUCAUUCUUAAACAGCUGAAUUAAAGACCUAAUUCCUACUAAAAGGCUUCAAAAUGAGAAGUUGUUAACUACGAUGAUACUUUCCCCUGGUUAAGGAAAAAGAGUUGGGGCUUUGUCUGAACGGACAUCAUUUCGGAAGUCAAUUUUUCUUUAAACUUCAUUAAAGCUAUAAAAUGUGGGUGGUUAAUCUAAGUGAGAGCUGCCAUUGUCUAAAAAUGCAUUAAGACUUAACCAGACGGGUGGUUGCACGACAGGAGCUAUUUAGGAUUAGAAAGUCAUUGUGAUUUGGAUUUAAGCGAAUUGCAUGCUGUUUACGAAUUCUGCAGCAGUUAAUCUAGAUCGCUUCCAUUCCACCGCAAGCAGGAGGCAGACCUUUCUGCCUCGUUAUCCCAACUUCCACGUCAGUUCCCAGAGGAAUCAAGUUUGUCCUACAGAUGUUGGCUUUAAUGGGGAUGAGCCUGAGGGACUCUAAACUUUCAGUUGCAUUUAUCCCCUUUCUGGAUACUAUUAAGUUUCUCCUGCCUUAAGCAGAGGACCGGUCUUUGCUUCAAAGGCAGCUAAAGAGUGAAUUAUUUACCAAAUAGCACCAAGGGGAAGAUUUACCAAGCCCCCUUUUUUUUCCCAGAGAGGACAACCCCAGAACUGGAGGACUUUCUCAGCAGUAAAUUAUGCCAUUCAGAUGCUUUUGAAAACUUCCCUUCAUGCUCUGGACUGAGUCAUAAAAUUUGAUACCUGGGGCCAAAUGCCUUUACCCCUCCCAGAAGGGUGAAGAAGAUGAAAAGGCAGCCAUUCUGGGCCAGGGCCACAGAAAGCCGAUGACUGGGCAGAAAAUGUGGGCAGUGGAGACAGUUACUCUGCAUAAUUCACACCUCCUUGACCUGAGGGUCUACUCCGAAAUGGAUUUUAUCAUUUGCAUAAGAUCAUCAGACCCUGCAAAACCUGAAUUGGCCGCUUGGAAAACACUAGGUGUAAUCGGGACCACGAAUUGAUUGCUGUCCUUAUCUCUGAUGCAGGGAUUUUAGAGCUUGUGAAUUUCAAUAAACCCGCCACUCACCUGGAGAGGGUUUGCUGGGGCCCGCGUUCUCUGAUUUCUUUGGAGUCGUGGUACUUUUAUGUUUGUGCUUGACUGAUGUUUGGUCAAUUGCUGGAAGUCUGGAAUCACUCUUACGCGCAGAACUCUUGGCAGGUAAUCCUGGUUCGGCUAGAGCAUGCUUCUCACCAGAACUCUGCCGAAAAUGAAAGGUGUCUGAGUAUCUGUGGUCAAUAGGCCAUCUUGGCUGGGCAGAGGAAGAAGAGACAAGCCAAAUGCAGCAACCCCUCCACAGAGACACUGGAGCAUCCUGCGAGCUCAGUGUGCCCUUUCACCAGGUUUCAUCAGAUUUUCAUGGACUGGGCGUAUCAGUUUAGAAAUAAUAGCAAAGUUAAUGAGUCUAUUUUGUAGAACAUUAUGAAAAGAAUGAAUUCCUGACCCUUAAGUAAUUGGAUGACCAACAAACAGCUCACGUGAAGAGCUACGUAUGAAAACAGGAGAAACCAUCGUGCAUUUAAACUUCUCGCUAUUUGCUAUUUGAGCUACUUUGGGGGGAGGGGGAGGAAAAAUGUUCCUUAUGUUAAUCAUAUACUUGACAAGGAAAAGGAAAUUUAGAUAAGUGUGUUGGGACUGAAUCAAUGAGGCCUCAGUUUAAUACUCUGAAUUAUUGGGUGCAACAUA